UGUGGUUUCCCGUGUUAGCCACAUCAAAGAACCAUUUUCUUUGAGAUUUUUCUAGAACAAGUGAGAAAGUGAGCAGUGGAUGAUGGGUGGCUUGGGUAGUGAAUCUUGCUUAGUCAAAUUAGUUUGAAGCUUAUAAUUGUUAUAUCUACAACUGGGUUUAUUCUUGUGAAGUGUUGGAAUGACGAUUUGAAGUAUAAGAGUUUGAGAAACUCUUUAAGAGACUAGGGCCAUGCUUAAGAAUGUUCUUGAAGGGAAAUAGAAGAUUUGUGUUUACUAAGGUAUAUGAGCUGCUGGAAUUUUUGUUGAAAUUGGAGAUUUGGUGGAAAUACGUACGGGUGACUAGUUGACCGGUGAAUUAUGCGAGUAUUGGAGGAAGUAGAUUGUGUUUUGGUUGCUAUUACCAGACAUUUUUUUUCAGAUAUAGUUAAUCCAGUAGAGCCAGGUCUGCCUACAGCCAGAUAGACUUUCAACCUCCUUAUUCUGGUGAGCCCAGCACAUAUAGUGCGGGUGUGAUUAUGUAUUAUCUUGGACUCAUGUAUUACUGUUAUUUUACCGACUCUAGAUGAUCCGUUAACUACAUAUAAGAUAUGAUGAUAUGUAAGGCCAUGGGCCAAACUGUGUUGUAGUUAUUUCCAUGUCACGUGUAUCUUGUUUCUUUGAUUA